rnacentral:rRNA from 1 species
CACGUAGGCACCAAGCGUUGUCCGGAUUUAUUGGGCGUAAAGAGCUCGUAGGCGGUUCGGUAAGUCGGGUGUGAAAACUCUGGGCUCAACCCAGAGCCGCCACCCGAUACUGCUGUGACUUGAGUUCGGUAGGGGAGCGGGGAAUCCUGGUGUAGCGGUGAAAUGACGCAGAUAUCAGGAGGAACACCAAUGGCGAAGGCAGCACUCUGGGACGUGACUGACGCUGAGACGCGAAGCGUGGGGAGCAAACAGG